rnacentral:rRNA from 1 species
GACGAACGCUGGCGGCGUGCUUAACACAUGCAAGUCGAACGAUGAAGCCGGAGCUUGCUCCGGUGGAUUAGUGGCGAACGGGUGAGUAACACGUGAGUAACCUGCCCUUGACUCUGGGAUAACUGCGGGAAACUGUAGCUAAUACCGGAUACGACCCUCGGCGGCAUCGCCAGGGGGUGGAAAGAAUUUCGGUCAAGGAUGGACUCGCGGCCUAUCAGCUAGUUGGUGAGGUAACGGCUCACCAAGGCGACGACGGGUAGCCGGCCUGAGAGGGUGACCGGCCACACUGGGACUGAGACACGGCCCAGACUCCUACGGGAGGCAGCAGUGGGGAAUAUUGCACAAUGGGCGCAAGCCUGAUGCAUCAACGCCGCGUGAGGGAUGACGGCCUUCGGGUUGUAAACCUCUUUUAGUAGGGAAGAAGCGAAAGUGACGGUACCUGCAGAAAAAGCACCGGCUAACUACGUGCCAGCAGCCGCGGUAA